CAUUAGGUAAGUGUUUACUAUCAAAGCCUGUUCUCUGUAGACAACUGUAUUAGUGUUGAUAGAAGUGCAUUUAUGCAACGUCUUUCAACUACACUUCAACACUACAAUUCCUGAUCUCAUGUGAUUAUUCACCUCAAGUGAGUGGGCUUUCAGAUGUGUUUUUCCUGAAACAGAUUGUGGCAUAUGAGGUCUCUUUAUCUGUUGAAGCAUCAAUAGGAAAGGAUGAAAGGGAGCGAGGCAGGAAGAGGAAAACACAGAAGAGCAGAUGAGGAUUACUGUAAUUGAAGGAACUAUGGGAAAGUUCUCCUUUCCAAGGCUCAUCAUAAGAAUGCCAUGGGCAAAUCGAACUGCACAGGAUGAUUUCUGCACAGGAACUACUGAACUCCACAGGCCCAGAACACACCAGCCUCACAACUCCUCACAACUCCCCAGCCUUAAUGUGUGUAGGCAGGACAAGGAGAACACCGAUUCAUUCCAGAAGAAGAGGAAAAAGAAGAGGCUAAAUGAGAAGGGAACCCAGGUUGAACUAGGCAUGCGGGAGGAUAUCCAUGACCUUGACCUCGCCCAUUGGAGAUUGGCUAGAGAGACAUGGAGAACUGAGCGAGGAAACAUGAGGGAGAUUAAGGCGCUGUACGGAGAAAUAUUUAGGCUGCACCAACUCUUGGAGGAGAUUGGGGUGGAUAAAGGGGUGAUCAAGCAGCGCUCCACCUCCUCCAUUAUUUGUCCCGUCUCCCCGACACUGCCAGCUUUCCCCUGGUACAACCACCACAGGUACCUCGCCAACAGCCAAUCGGAGCCUGACCAGCAUGCUGCCGGCACCCAGAAGGACCCACCUAAGAAACACUCAAUCUUUCCCCCUCUGGACACACAGAACUGCAACUCCCCUGAUAAAUGGCCUCAUUCUCCGUCCAAGACGUCACACCCACACGCUUCACACCGAUUUGCUGUCCCAUCCCACCUCCUGGCUUCCGGGCCUCCUGCCCGGAUGAGACAGACCCAUCCGCAGGUCCACCCCAGGUCCCCAUUGACUGGCCAGGCAAAGGUCAAGGAUGAGGUUAAGAGGCCAGAGACUGCAUCGUCUGAGGAAUUGUCUGAGGAAGUUCAACGGAGAGGAGCAGAAAUUGCAAGCAUGUAUAAAGCACAGCUGAAAGAGAGGAUGGCCCAAAAGAGAAAGGAAGAGAUUCUGAAGAAAAUGGCAAACGGCGAUGACAAGAACGAUGACACUGAGGCCUUCUGCUCCUCUGCAGUAAAACAAUCUAAUACCCCUGCCACAGCCCCCGAGCGCCCGGCCAGCCCAGAGGCCACACCAGUGGCCGCCCGAGAGGACACUCAGGGGGACACCCAGCAGGACUUGGCAGAGGUUGUGAAUGUUCUCAAGAGGCAAUCAUCUGAUCUAUACCUGCCUGACGACGUUUGUGAGGAGUCACUCACAUGGAAAUCCAUUUACGAAGAGCUGUGCCCGCUCACUCACAGAGUGAACACAGAAGCUGACUACAUCAAGGCGCUCCGCGUCAUCACUGAGAAUGCUGUGACUCCCUCGUGCUCGUCUGAGGAUGAUGUGUCUCAGAGUGUGAGUGAGGACACAAGUCAGGAGGGGAGUAGUGAAAGUGAGGAGAGCAUGAGUGGACAACAGCAGAGAUGUCUACACAGGGAUCCUUAUGGUAAGAGGGACAGGAAGGAGAUUGAUAGUGGUAAAAUGGAAGGGAGAUUUGCAACCGCCAAUGCAAUGUCUAUGAUGGCGAGCCGAGGGAUAGAAGAACUUAAUGCCAUGAGCUACGCAGACAGGAUCAAAUAUUUCAAGUAUGAGGCUAAGAGAAAUGAAGAGAUGAUGAAGAUUGAAAGGAGGAAGGAAAAAGCCAGGGACGAAGAGCUCAAAAAGUGGGAAAAGAGGCAGAAGAAAUUGAAUGAGGAGGAAAGGAAAAGGACAGAAAAUAUAGAAAAAAACAAGUUAGAGGAGCAGAGGAAAAGGGAGAAGGCAGAGAUGAAACUAAAGAUCGAACAUGAGAAAAAGAGACAAGAGCAAGAGAAAAAGCGAGAGAAAAAAGAAAGAAAGCAGCAGGAGAUGCAACAGAAGGCCCGUGCAAAAGAAGAGAAAAAGAGGGCAGAGGAAGAGAAAAAGAUGGAGAAACAGAGGAUGGAGGAGGAGAGGAACAGGGAAAAGGAGAGAAUGAAGGUGUUGGAGAUGCAGCAAAAGGCACGAGAGAAAGAAGAGAAGAGGAGGAAAGAGGAACAGAAAAGGAGAUUGAAGAUACAGCAGGAACAAGAGAAGGAGGAACAGAAAAGGCAGACAAGGAUACGGGACGAGGAUAAGAAGAGAGCAGAGCUUCAAAGAAUAAAAGAUCACGAGGCCAGGUUCAAGAUGGAGAUGGAGAAACUGUAUGAGAGAGAAGAGAGGAAUGCACAGAUUGAAAGAGAAAAGAGACGUGCGCUGUGUCAGAAAAAAGGACAGACACAGAGAGCAAAACAGGUGGUGGCAUACGAGGUCACAACGUCUACAUCUGACGCCUCUGUGCGGAGGGAAGAGAGGGAGCAGCGUCCAGAGACCGCUCACGCACAGUCUGCAAAGAGGAGAACAAGGAAGAAGCAGAAGAAAGCGGCGGACGAGGCAUCGACAACUUUUCAGUAGAUGACAAAAGAAAGGGAGCAGACAAAAGAAAUGUACAAGUCAAUGCUCCUAGGUAUGUUGAUAGAUGUAAAUAAACAACAAAUUCGUUUUUUUUAAAGAGUAAAAACAAUCAAAAAAAUGAGAAAAUUAGCAAAAGGAGGAACAAAUUAUAAGGAAGCCAGGCAUGAGGGUGAAGAGGAGGAAACAUGAGAGAGGAGGAAGAGAGACCAGAGUGGUUUAUCAGGAGGGAAGUAGGAGAUAUAGAAUUCAAGUUCUGAUGGACAGAAUCAGGAAGGACCAUGAGAUUAGCAGUAAAGAAGAGCUGAGUGGAUCAAAAGAAAGUUAUGGAAAACACAAGGGGGGAGGCAAGAUAAACAGAGACCCAGAGAAAAUAGGUGAAAACACUUUAGAAGAGUAAUAGAGAGGAGAUUGAACUAGAUUUCUGAUGGACAUAUGGCCAAAAUAACUAUUUAAAUAACUAAGGAUUAGCAGAAAAGGAGAAGACCAAGAGCACAGGAAAAAUAACCAACAGACGUCAAAAAGAAAGGAAGUCUGCCUCUUCUACUUCUCUUUUAAAGUUGCUUUGGUUUCCUUUUGUCCUCUUUCUAAGCCUGUUCAAGUCUGAGAUAGAUGAAAAGAGCAGCCAAAGAAACAGAUCUGUUGAAGCAUCAAUUGGAAAGGAUGGGAGGGUUGGAGGAGGAGCACAGCUGGAUGACUACAUUAGAUUGUGGCAUAUGAGGUCUGUUGAAGCAUCAAUAGGAAAGGAUGAAAGGGAGGGAGGCAGGCAGGAAGAGGAAAACACAGAAGAGCAGAUGAGGAGCACUCUAUGUUCUGCUUUCAUGAGCUGCUGGAGGACAUCAUGGAGGAAGAGGGAGAGGGUCUAUGAUAGGCAGUUUGCCAUGGCCCUAAAUGGGCCUUUGAAUGUUAAUUCUUCCUGCUUCAUAUCAUACAACUUUACAAUAAAAAUGAAUUGCAA